UGGGGAAUAUUGGACAAUGGGCGGAAGCCUGAUCCAGCCAUGCCGCGUGUGUGAAGAAGGCCUUUUGGUUGUAAAGCACUUUAAGCGAGGAGGAGGCUACUUGGAUUAAUACUCGAGGAUAGUGGACGUUACUCGCAGAAUAAGCACCGGCUAACUCUGUGCCAGCAGCCGCGGUAAUACAGAGGGUGCGAGCGUUACUCGGAUUUACUGGGCGUAAAGCGUGCGUAGGCGGCUUCUUAAGUCGGAUGUGAAAUCCCUGAGCUUAACUCAGGAAUUGCAUUUGAUACUGGGAAGCUAGAGUAUGGGAGAGGAUGGUAGAAUUCCAGGUGUAGCGGUGAAAUGCGUAGAGAUCUGGAGGAAUACCGAUGGCGAAGGCAGCCAUCUGGCCUAAUACUGACGCUGAGGUACGAAAGCAUGGGGAGCAAACAGG
rnacentral:rRNA from 1 species